rnacentral:rRNA from 1 species
AUUGAACGCUGGCGGCAUGCCUUACACAUGCAAGUCGAACGGCAGCACGGGAGCAAUCCUGGUGGCGAGUGGCGAACGGGUGAGUAAAGUAUCGGAACGUGCCCAGUCGUGGGGGAUAACGUAGCGAAAGUUACGCUAAUACCGCAUACGAUAUAUGGAUGAAAGCGGGGGAUCGCAAGACCUCGCGCGCUUGGAGCGGCCGAUAUCUGAUUAGGUAGUUGGUGGGGUAAAGGCCCACCAAGCCGACGAUCUGUAGCUGGUCUGAGAGGACGACCAGCCACACUGGGACUGAGACACGGCCCAGACUCCUACGGGAGGCAGCAGUGGGGAAUUUUGGACAAUGGGCGAAAGCCUGAUCCAGCCAUGCCGCGUGCAGGAUGAAGGCCUUCGGGUUGUAAACUGCUUUUGUACGGAACGAAAAGGACUGCCCUAAUACGGUGGUCCCAUGACGGUACCGUAAGAAUAAGCACCGGCUAACUACGUGCCAGCCGCCGCAGUAA